UGGAACAAGAGAAGAAGCUACAUGCUCAACAGGCUUAUCGGCUACACAAGAGUAUACAGCCAAUUUUCAGCUCAACCGAUGCCGAUCGUAGAGAGAUCGAAGAGGCUGAUCAAAUUCGCAUGCGCGCAAUAGAUGCCAUCCGUACCCUCUUGGGACCGUUGUAACAAACUUUGUUUAAUUUUUUGUGAUGCAAAUACUUUAACGCUCGUACUACAAUCGGCUUGAAUGCAAACUGACUGAUCUUUUGCUGCUCUGUUUGACUGACCAAUGGCUACCUCAUUCAAAGCAUCCCUUUUGACCGACUGUUCCAUGCUUUGAACAUUUAGAUUCUUUCAAAAUUGCCUUAUAAGUACGAGCACCAAUGCUCCCCUUGAAAGCCUUCACAAAAUCACACAAACUCUGUCCCUCCACAAGUUUCUCAAACCGGACCAAAUCCAAACAACCAAGAUGGCUUCCUUUUCAUCAGUCAAUCAGGUAUUCAUUCUGCAACCUCGUUCUAAAUCAAUAAUUCUGAAUCAAUUUCUAUUUGAAACUCAUCCCCUUUGUUCUUCUUUUUCGCAGAUGAACCCAGUGAACCGCCAACUCGAGGCAAUCAUCCAAAUCCUCCAAUCCAAUGAGAAACUUUCUCAAAAGAACAAGGAUCUGAUACAACCUCGACCAACUCAGAGAUUACAUCCCCCCGGAUGUCAAUCUGGUUCUAUCUACGAUUAACUCUGCAGGCUCAAGUCGGCAGAUACAACAAUCGGCCAAUCAAGUGCGAGGCCUUCAAC
rnacentral:lncRNA from 1 species